GUGCUGCCGAGAAUCUUUAGAAGGUUUCACAAGUACUCAACGGAAGGGCCAGAGGAGUGGUGGUAGCACCAACAACGAUUGCGUCACAGUUCAUUGGACCUGCAUGGAAGGGUGCUGUUAUAAUUUCAUUUGUGUGGUUUUUGCAUCGAUGGAAAACAAAUGUUAUCACACGUGCGUUGGUAAUGAAGUAUGUAGAGGGUGUUGACUGUGAUAAGCUGUUGACUUUGGACAAGUUCUCUUCUGUUGGCGUGUUUGUCCUUUAUUACAAUGAAAUUUGUAUAAUAUAAUUAUGUGUUUAUCCCGUUAGGUUAAAUAUGAAGGUUUCCUUGAGGAGAAGUAUGGGAAAGAACGUAAUAAACAUCCAAAAUUUGACAAAGACUUGUGGUCACAAGCUGAGGGCAAGAAGAAAGGAAAAGUGUACGGGUUAUGCAAUGAUAGUGGUGUGUGUACAUAGGAGAGAAGACCCUGAGAUUGAAAAGUUGAACUUAGUUAUCAAGGAGCUCGUUAAGGAAAAAGAUGAAGAAAAAGAAAAAGAAAGGUUCAAUGGAAUUAUUGCGGGGUUGUUGGCUGACAAAGAAAAAGAUAAGGUGGAUUAAGAUGCGUUGCUUGAUAGGAUGUCACAAAUUGAAGCUAUGUUAACAGCUACAGUUCGAAGAUAGGCUA